AAGUGAGAUGGCAGAGCAGAAGCAGGAAGUGAAGUGGCUGGGAGAGAGAGGAUAUAAGCAGGAAGAAACAGGAGCUUGAACUCUUUUCCACUGAGACACUAAUGAGGGGCCCACUCAAGAUGGUCAUGAGCAGCCCCAGGCAUGACUUUGGGAACUCCAGUGGAAAGAAGGCAUUCCUUUUUGGCUAGAUCCAGAAAAAGUCCUGCCUAAGACUGACAUUGGCUCUGUUUGGUCACUGAGUCAAAUUCUGACAAACCACGUUGAUUCUUAACAGCACCUGGUGAACACGAGCCUGGACCCUAUAGAACCCUAAGGCUUCACGAGUCUGAGCCUGCAGUUGGACCAGCAUGGCCACUGUUCUGGACCUAUUCCCGUGGCUUGAAUGUGCACACAGUUCAGCUGGCCCAGUUCUACCAGAGGCAAAGGGGUUCCUUGCAGAUGUGAUGCCAGGAGGACAGUCAUGCCUGUGCUUCCAGGAACCCCCAUUCUAUUCUAUGCCAGAGACACACAGAUGGUGGCUGGAUUCCAGCCACAGAUGCAGCUCCCUCAAGAACAGUGAAGCCUACAACAGGAGUGUGCCCCCUCUGGGUCUCAGGCCUGAGGGGACAGUAGCAUCUGUGUGACCGAAGACUCACCCUCUGUGAGUGGAACAGUUAAGGCUGUCUGUGGCCUAGCAUCUGCUGGUCCCAUUCACUAUGGCAAGGCUGUGGACAUUCAGUCUUAGACCUUCUCACCCCAGUGCCUGAACUCAACAGGAAAACGUCAGCUGCAAAGUCCUGGACUCUGCCUGCCAUCACCAUCACUCUACAGACAUCUUCAGCACAUCUCUGUGAGAUUACUUCCUUUAUACUAGGGUUUUGUGUAGCUAUUUCCUCCUGGUGGCAACACUCCUUCCUGGAGAUGCUAAGCUCACAAUGAAGUUACAAGACUCAUGAGGCCCCAGACCCCAUGAGGCUCCCUCCUUGAGGUUAUAUAAGCUUAAACAAUUACUGUAGAGUUACUAGCAUGUUAUUCAGGGAGUUUCAGGGAUGCACCUUUCAUGAGAUUGUCACCCAUGCUGGAGGGGAGGAGGGAUUUUCAGCAGUACAGCAGCCUGAGUCACCUAUGUUCCUGUAAGUGACCCAAAUAAACUCAUUGGUUCACUAAGUUAAACUGGGGUGAAAUAGUUUUUUUAGCCCAUUGUCGGCACCCUAUCUGACGUCCAUGGACAUCUGCUCACAUCUCCAGCAGGACAAUACUGAGGAUUUAUAUGUAAUGUAUUAUUUUGCUCUCGGGCUAACUCCAUUGAGUAUGGUACAAUGAAUAUUCCCACAUUUUCCUAAACUGGAAACUGAGACACCAAGGUUAAAGAGCUCCUGAAGAAGCACAGAGAAAGGGAAGUGGAGAUUUCCCAUUUGUCAGGCAAAGUGGGAAGGUCUGCAGUGAAUCCAUAUCAGGUUAGAGAAAAGGGGUGUCGACAGAGAUUCAAGCUCCUGGUGAGAGAUGAAGGCAAUGUGGGGGGUGGGGGGACACACAUCAGGGCAAGUAUCGUUUGCAUGAGUCCUAACCCACUAAAAACUGUGAAGUGAAAAUAGUUUAAAACAAGGACAAUCAAGGUGGAGUCCCACAUGUGAGCAGUGUGAUGGCACUCGGGAUGGAGUCCCAGGGGUGAGCAGUGUAAUGUGCUGGCGCAAAAAUAAAA